rnacentral:misc_RNA from 1 species
UAAUAGAGUGUUUUAUGGCACUCUAAAAAAAAUCCAUAUCCACCUUGUGUGAAAUGUUAAUCCUUUGUCAAUAAUCUUUUUUUUUUUUGACAAGGUAUUUUUUAUAUCAACUCUCUUUUAUUAUUAUUUUUAAUCUAUUGUCUGUAAAAUGUUAUGAAUUUACUUAAUUCAAAACA